UCUUGGAUGCCGGCAGGUGUAACUAACAUUGCAUGCAAUCUAUCAAACUAUGUCAGUAAGGGUCACCUUUACACUACAUGUGUAUGUGUGCUCCCGACCCACCAACCUAAAACAGCUGAGACGGUGAGAAGGUAAACAAAAAAGAGGCGGACUUCGAGCUGGGGCGGCGUUUGAGGGUCCCUCCCAUACUUCGGGCGUACUUGGUAGGCGCCUAUCAGCGGCGCCUGACCAUCGGAGAAUGAAGAUGGCGGAAAAGCACAGGAUGCUUUCGAGCAGCAUCUCAAAGUUGUAGUUAUAAAUUGCGUCAUCUUAUCUCUGCUCAUGUGGCGUGGACGUUCUGGUGAACUGUUUAGCAACAAGGAAGCGGUGACUCCGAAAAGACUGGCUUAGGAGUGGAACAAAGGUAUGAGUGUGGGACUGGGAGCAUGUGGUGCAGCCAGUUCCGAUGAGCAGGAAGUAGGGAAGCCGAGCGAGAGGAAGAGGAAGAGGAAGUCCAGCAUGCUGGGCAGAUCCACUGCCCCGAGCCACUGUCCAGCAGCCAGGAUGGACACCUGUCACUGAGAGAGAAGAGAGCCCCCGAGAGAGAGAGAGAAGAG